AGUUUUGAAUUACUAUUAUAAUUAUUUAUACUUUCGUAGCAAAAGUAUAAUUAACAGUUUAUGUGAAUUGAUCAGGAAAAUAAAAUUGUUUUGUUAAAGAACACGUGCAAGAUUCUGCCAUGCAGUUUCUUUUGUGUAAAUUAGGACUUUAUAUUUUAGUAUGGACUUUGAGGCAGAGGAGAUAUUUUGUAUAAGAAAAUAAAAGUUUAAGCUGGUCACUGCGCCAUUCAGUACCCAAA